rnacentral:rRNA from 1 species
GACGAACGCUGGCGGCGUGCCUAAUACAUGCAAGUAGAACGCUGAAGAGAGGAGCUUGCUCUUCUUGGAUGAGUUGCGAACGGGUGAGUAACGCGUAGGUAACCUGCCUUGUAGCGGGGGAUAACUAUUGGAAACGAUAGCUAAUACCGCAUAACAAUGGAUGACACAUGUCAUUUAUUUGAAAGGGGCAAUUGCUCCACUACAAGAUGGACCUGCGUCGUAUUAGCUAGUAGGUGAGGUAAUGGCUCACCUAGGCGACGAUACAUAGCCGACCUGAGAGGGUGAUCGGCCACACUGGGACUGAGACACGGCCCAGACUCCUACGGGAGGCAGCAGUAGGGAAUCUUCGGCAAUGGGGGCAACCCUGACCGAGCAACGCCGCGUGAGUGAAGAAGGUUUUCGGAUCGUAAAGCUCUGUUGUAAGUCAAGAACGGGUGUGAGAGUGGAAAGUUCACACUGUGACGGUAGCUUACCGGAAAGAGACGGCUAACUACGUG